rnacentral:lncRNA from 1 species
CUUUAUGAUCUCUGCAACCCCCAAAACAACUGAGAGGACAACAGCAGUGACAAGUGCUCUGUCACUUACUCCAACAGCAGAAACAAAUCCUCUAUCCUUAGGUCAAUCUACCACAACAAAACCACCUCCAACAACAGAGCUAAUAACAAAAGCAACAACAGUGCCACCAACGGCAUCAUCACCUCCACCAACAAAGCCACCAACAACAACACUGGCACCAACAACAACAGCGACACCAGCAACAACGACGGCACCAACAGCAACACCAGCAACAGUGAUGGCACCAACAACAACAACACUGGCACCACCAACAACAACACUGGCACCAGCAACAACGACACUGGCACCACCAACAACAACAACGACACCAGCAACAAUGACGGCACCAACAACAACGGCGGCACCACCAACAACGACGGCACCAACAACAACAACGACACCAGCAACAACGACGGCACCAACAACAACAGCAACACCAGCAACAACGACGGCACCAACAACAACAACAACACUGGCACCAACAAUAGCGACACAAGCAACAACGACGGCACCAACAACAACACUGGCACCAGCAAAAACGACACUGGCACCAACAACAACAGCAACACCAGCAACAACGACGGCACCAACAACAACACUGGCACCAACAACAAUGGCGGCACCAACAACAACAACACUGGCACCAACAACAAUGCCAAAACCAGUAACAACACAGAAACCAACAACAACGCCAGAACCAGCAACUAUGCCAAAAACAGUAAAAACACAGAAACCAGCAAAAAUGACAAAAACAGUAACAUCACGGAAACCAGCAACAAUGGCAAAAACAGUAACAACACGGAAACCAACAACAACGCCGAAACCAGCAACAACACCAAAAACAGUAACAACACGGAAACCAUCAACAACGCCGAAACCAGUAACAACACGGAAACCAGCAACAACGGCAAAAAUAGUAACAACACAGAAACCAGCAACAACACCGAUACCAGUAAUAACAACAAAGCCACCAACAGCAAGACCGGUAACAACAAUACCAACAACACCAGAGCCUGCUAAGUACCUAUUACAAUACUUUUAAUGUAAAUUUUGGAAGACUG